UUUGCUUCUGGGACCUUGAAGUGAAAAAAUUCUCCAAGUUAUAUCUGUUCUUAUCACUUUAAUAUCUGAUAUGUCCUUUAAUUGAGGACUGUAUAUUAAAGAUUUUUGAAACAGGGGGAUGGAAUAGGAGCUUGCUCUGUCCUCUCCAUUACUUGCAUCUGAAGAAGUGAGGUUAUUACCC
rnacentral:snRNA from 1 species